rnacentral:rRNA from 1 species
ACUCCUACGGGAGGCAGCAGUGGGAAGUAUUGCACAAUGGGGAAACCCUGAUGCAGCCAUGCCGCGUGUGUGAAGAAGGCCUUCGGUUGUAAAGCACUUUCAGUAGGGAGGAAGGUAGUGUAGUUAACACCUGCAUUAUUUGACGUUACCUAUAGAAGAAGCACCGGCUAACUCCGUGCCAGCAGCCGCGGUAAUACGGAGGGUGCGAGCGUUAAUCGGAAUUACUGGGCGUAAAGCGCAUGCAGGCGGCCUGUUAAGUCAGAUGUGAAAGCCCGGGGCUUAACCUCGGAAUUGCAUUUGAAACUGGCAGGCUAGAGUCUUGUAGAGGGGGGUAGAAUUUCAGGUGUAGCGGUGAAAUGCGUAGAGAUCUGAAGGAAUACCAGUGGCGAAGGCGGCCCCCUGGACAAAG